AUGGUCAAUUACGUGCUUUCUUUCUGCAAAAUCACCGGGGCGAGUAAAAUAUUCACUCGGAACUUUUAUUUGCCUUUGCUUAAGCCUUUGACCCCGAAGGACGCGUUGCGCACCCUCAGGAUCACCGGGAAAUGGCUGCUGGGCGCCAAAUAUCAGCACUACAUCCCUGUGCUGCGCAAUCAUCGCUUCAAAACUAAAUCGAAAGCUAAAAAGCACAAAACAAUGGACGAUUUCACUUAUAUGACCCCUACCUUCGACCCAGACAAUGAGAACCAAAAAAGACUUAAAAACAUCCUGGACAGCAAACCCAAGUCCCCUGGACUAUACGUUUACACUGUCGAAGACAAAAAAUACAAUAUAGUCUUUGAGGCGGCCUUUGAAUUAGCAGUCCAGGACGGUGACAUCAUAGACGUCCUGGUAUCUCAAAAGAACGACAAAAUCCUAGUGAAAACCAAAGACUUCAAAAAAGUCCCCCUAGAAAUCCAGUACUACGAGCCAAACGGACAACCCCUCUAUAGUGGUCAAGGCACCACCACUAAGGAAGAAGAAAAAUUUCAUCACCAUGGCAAAUACACUAUGGGCCUCGCCAAACUAUUCGAAGACAAAGAAAUGCAAGAAGAAAAGUGGGAGGAGGAAAUGAAAAAAAUUCUGAAAAAGCGCAAGAAGCACAAGUGGGAAGGCACUAAAGCUUUUAAGGAAAUGAUGAAGCAGAUCAUGCGUAAAUUCGACUGGAAAAAGUUCGAAGAAGACGCCAAGAGGGUAAUCGAUGACAUUGACGCUCCGGUCACAGAAACCCCAAUUGCCAUGGAAAUCAAUGACCUGGAAGCUACUAAGCAUGUCAAUGAAACCCUUAGCCAACGCGAAGAGUUGCUCGAUCAACUUCCCACUCUCAAAGACAUACCUGAUAUCAUAAAAAAUCUCGGGCAAGCCACUUUAACUGAUUUGGAAACGGACAGUCGCACCCUCAAAGGGGCCAAAGUCACCCUAGCAUCUGGCAAAGAGUGCUUCAUCAGUGGCCAAAUGGUCCAUACGGAAGACGGGGAUGUAUUUGUGCCAGGCCAAACUAUCCAGAACGAGUUCGGAGCUGAAUAUGCUCCUGGCAUUACCAUCAACAUUGACAGCAAGCCCACUUUGGUCAAUGGAUUGAUUAUGGGAGAUGAACAGAAGGACCCAUUGUUUUUACCAACCCAAUCGACUAUAACCUCUGGCGGCCAGUUAACUUUUGCCACAGCACCAGAGGAACGCCCUGCACCUGAACCUGAAGAACAAAGACAAACUAGACGGAAGAAACUUUUAAGGAUCAUCAGUGUAGUACCAGAAGAGAACGAACAAGAAGAGAUCAAAGAGUGCAUCGAGGACAUCAUGAAGGAAAGCGGCGUAAGUGAUUUUGAGAAUAUCGAGAUUAUUGUGGAAAGUGUCAAUGACCAGAGCUCCUCUUCUGACGAAGAUGACACCGUCAGUAGUGAGGAGCUCAAUCAUGAAGAGUUGGAUAUCGAAGCCAUCCAUCUCAAGCAACGCCAGGAGCUUGAGAAACUAAAAAUGAUUCUUCAAGACGAUGGUAUGAAUGACCUGAUAAGCAGCUUAGAAGAGAAAAAGCUGCUAUUAAAAAAGAAACUGGAGGAGCUUAGGAAACUCAGUAUGAUAUCUGAAAGCAACUUGAUCUCUUACGUGGAUGAUAGUGACGCAAUGGAUGCUGCCACUAAAAUAACUUCUCAGGAUAUCAAGAAACUCUCAGAGGUUUUGAUAGCCAUUACCAGAAGGACAGCUAACUUCAGAGACAGAAAUGGCAUUAGGCUAGAAAACAUUAACCUGGAUGUUAACAUAAAACCCACAGAAUGGGAUGAAAAAUUCAACAAAUCCUCCAUGAAGCUAAAAGUUUUACUUAAGACAGCUUUGGUAGCUGCUAAUGACGUUUAUAAGAACCGUCCGAAAGACCAAGUACUUGCUUUGCAUUCAAUAGUUGAUAUCCUUGAAGAUUCCUUGAAGUCUGACCCUAAGCUGCUUGGAGAACUUUUGAAGCUUUUGGAGACCUCCACGGACCGCUUGGAGGUAUGUGACACGGUUCUUAAGCAGCUUACUCUGGAUAUAUCACAUACAAAAGUGGCGUGUUUAAAGAAUCUAACCCAACCAAACUUAAAUUUGCAAGAUUGCCUUAAGAACUUGGAUAAAAUUAUUGAGGAUGGCAUCAUGAAUACCUCGUUUACAAAAAUUGUAAAACUAUGUCCAGAAAUAAUCCAGGACUUAUCAAAUACCAUUAAAAUACGUAGCAAGGGGGUUAUUGGAGAGGAGGCAGCCAUGGAAAUUCUACAGGACAGCAUAGUGGCCACCACAAGAGCCUUGAUGGAAAGCAACUUUGAAGUACUUCUUUCCAAGAAGGAAAGCACCGUUCUAGAGUUUAUUGAGGAGGCACUGAGCUUUGCUAAAGCUUUAGAUCUGGAGGACGUAGUUGAAAACUUAUCUAAACCAAAAACAGCUCUUAACAAUCUGGAGGAAUGCUCCAUAGAGAUGCUUAAAAGGAUGACCCUCAUAAGACAACUGGCCGAAAAAGACUACUCGCUAAAAACCGCCAUAAGCAGGAUCAAAAAGAACCCGGAGUGUGCCAGAUCGGAUCCCAGAAUCAGACAAUUGAUUAGAGAGAGUGCCAUCGUGAUGUCUGAAAUGGCUCCCCUGAGGAACUCUCGGGACAUCCCGUACGAUAUGAUGAAGAAACAAAAUCUGCUCUCUAUCGAGGACUUUUUGAUGCGAAAAAUGCGCCUGGACGUGCCGGUGCUGGUGUCCAGAGGCACCUACCAAGCGGUUAUUCCGAAGGAAUCGGCUCGGGGCGUAUUGGCAGGUCGCGUCCCUUAUAUCCUGAUCGACGAGUCGGGCGUGACGAAUUUCAAGCCGAUGCACAUGUUAUCCUCAAUAAACGUUAAUAAAAACCGCGAAAAACGAAUCGAGGACUAUCUGAGCGGGGUGCGGGAACGUUCGAAAUCCAUAGACUUGAAUCAGGAGGACUCGCGGACUUAUUUGCAGGCGAAGAGCAAUGUAAGGAGGUUAAGGAAGGUGCUGGGUAACACCAGGAAAACUGCAUGAUCGUGUCGUUUCUUGUAAAUAACAUUUGUAUGUGUUGAAUCUGUGUGGGGGAGAGGGAAGGGGUACGAUCGCAAGUCCCGAUGGGCAGUACGCGGGUACCGCGAGGGGCAGGGCCAUGAGUUCCGGUGCCCUUUUGGGGCACCGACUUUGACAUGCGUGAGGAGGAGCUGGAGGUCGCCCUGAAG